rnacentral:rRNA from 1 species
GGGAAUAUUGGACAAUGGGCGAAAGCCUGAUCCAGCAAUGCCGCGUGUGUGAAGAAGGCCUGCGGGUUGUAAAGCACUUUUAUCGGGAAAGAAACAGUUAGGGGUUAAUACCCCCUAGCCUUGACGGUACACGUUGAAUAAGCACCGGCUAACUCCGUGCCAGCAGCCGCGGUGACACGUAGGCACCAAGCGUUGUCCGGAUUUAUUGGGCGUAAAGAGCUCGUAGGCGGUUUUGUAAGUCGGGUGUGAAAACUCUGGGCUCAACCCAGAGAGGCCACUCGAUACUGCAAUGACUUGAGUACGGUAGGGGAGCGGGGAAUUCCUGGUGUAGCGGUGAAAUGCGCAGAUAUCAGGAGGAACACCAGUGGCGAAGGCGCCGCUCUGGGCCGUAACUGACGCUGAGGAGCGAAAGCGUGGGUAGCAAA